UAUACGCUGAACGAAGGCAGACAAUGCACGAGAAAUGUGCGGAGAAUGGGAACGCUAGUGGAAGAAAGCAGCCACAGUUUCUUUUGGGCAGAACACCGGUGUAGGAGCAUACGACUCUGUAAUGUGAUUUUGUGUGUGCAAUAAUAUGCUGAUUUAUCUUUUGGUCGUGAUCUACUUUUGCAUCAGCGCAGCGCAAAGCGCAAAAAGUACAACAGAACUCAUCAAAAAUUCAAUAGUAAGAGAUGGAUGGCAGUUUUUUGCACGUCACCUUUAUUUCGUGAUGUUGAAGAGGACCUACAACGUCACUGGGGGGCUCAACAACUCCAUGUGUGUCAUGAUUCCGUUUCCGCCCACGAUAGAUACAAUGAAACAUGCGCUAAAUGCGACGUUCACUUAUCGCAACUUGAGCUCCAUGUAUAAGCUGCAUCCUGAGAAUCCUGACGACCAUACUUCUUACUGGUAAUUUCGGAUAUGCUCUCUCCCCACCAUUUUGGCGUAUUAUGUACUGCAACAGCCGCUGCGCCGUUGUUGACGUCCGCCAGUUGACGUUUACCAUGGCUUCUGCAAAUCAGAAGGGCCUCCUUCGCAAGCGACAAUGUGAACUGUGGGUCAGCGCAAGUGAAGAGGAGGAACUGACCACGCCGGAACAUUACAACCAAAGGAAACAAGUCAUUUGCGAAGAAUUCUUCAAAAGAUGGUGCGACACAACAAAUCUGCAAUAUAUAUACAAUCCGAAGACGUGCGCCCGACAGAUUUAAAUAUCCGAUUGAUAGAAUCGUUUUUUUUAAAGAGCCAGUCGCAAAUCUGUUCACUUGAAAUACAGGCACAUAUCGCAAAAAAUGAACAUAAAAUAAACAGGGCCUUCGAGCGAAUUCGUCUUGCCUCACGUGGAUAUUCAAAAUAAAGGCUUUGUGAUUUACAGUA